UGCAGCCACAUCAUGUUGAAACAUUGCUUCCUGUACGAUCACCAAAGUUAAGUAACAUUGAGCCUGCUCAGUACCUAGAUGGGUAACCACUUGGGAAUACCAGGUGCU